GAUAGGGGGCGCGUCGCCGUGCUCCCAACAUCUGGCGGCGGCCGGCGGUGGAGAGAGAUGGCGUGGUGGACUGGAGGCUAUGGGGUGUGGCCGGCGCCAGUGAAGGUCAGGGCGGCGAGCGGCUCCGUCAAUCUCUCGCUGUCGGAGUAGCGAACUCACUCCCGCGUAUGCAGAGUCACAUGGGGUGAAGAAAGACACAUGAGCUCAGUCUGUCGCCGGAUGGAUCUCGCACAAACUUGUUUAUAGAUUCAGUGUUGUUUUAUAUGGAAAUAUCAGCAUUGCAGUUCGCCCUGAAUGAGGACCUUAAAGCCACAGAGAUUGAGGAAGGAUGACACAAUUUUCAUGCUACUGACAGUGGAUGAUGGAUGAGCACCUGAGCCAUCAACCCUGGCAAGGAGAGCUGAAGGCCCAAGAUAACAACGUGCUUAGCCAGUAGUCUUCUUAUAUGAAUCUUCAAUAGCUUCUGAAAUUUCAACUUGUAGCCAAUUACACGUGGCACUGUUAUGGUUCAGUUUUUUCAGUUAACAUUGAUUCAGUUUUAAUCUUAUUUAUUUUCAA